CUUGACAGCAAUUGACUGGAACAUUAUGUGGUCGCUCUUCGAAUAUGGAUGUGAAAAAUUUAAUUUUCCUGAUUGCAUUUGCAAUUGCGGUGCAAACAGCACCGACUUGUCCCUUCAAUGAAGAGAUAAAAGAUGGCGGAUUUGAUUGUCAAACGUGCCAGAAUUAUGCAGUGGUCUUUUGUAUGGCAUUAAAUGAGAAAAAGUGUUAUUGUAAAGGUGGCUACGUUAGGGAUAAUGAUAACAAUAACAAAUGUGUUCAGACAGUCAACUGCACUAUCAAAUAUUUCAAUUUUAGUUAAUCGAAUGUGAAUAGUUUAUACACACUUUAUCAACAAAGUUAAUUAAAUUUGUAUUCAUCAAAACAUUAAUAAAAAAUAAAUCUUGAAACGUCAAGUACUCCGAUAUUAAUCUUCCACUUUCACUGCUGUUGUUAUAAUUAUUAUUAAAAUGUUGCUAUCCUCGUGA